rnacentral:lncRNA from 1 species
AGACCCCAUGGCGACCUAAGGUCUAAAGUGGCAGCAGCAGAACAGGAAGGAAUAGUUUAUCCAAUACCCACUGAAAAUGAAAGACUGCACAGGGCUCAGUGACUGAAUAUUCGAGUUAAAAAGGAAGGAACCCAGAAUAACCCCAAGUUUGAAAGGAGUGGCUGGGAAAUUCAAAGAAUCACUGAUGGCGAUAGGCUGAGCAAAAGCUGUACUGGGAACAAGGAUGAGUUCAUUUUUUAACUACUCUUACUCUGACUAAAAUAGAAGUGGUAAAGGGCAGCGAGGUGGUGCAGAGAUAGAGCACCAAAACUGGAGACAAGAAGACCUGAAUUCAAAUUCGGCCUCAGACACUACCUAGCUGUGUGACCCUGGGCAAGUCACUUCACCCUGUUGGCCUCAGUCUCCUCAUCUGGAAAAUGAACUGGAGAAGCAAACGGCAACCCACUCCAGUAUCUCUGCCAAGAAAAUCCCAAAUGGGUUCACAACGUCAUGAGUCAACAACAACAACAAAUGAGACUAAACACCCCACUGUGCUUCCCUGGCAGAGGAAGAGGAAUUGCCCCUACUAUCUCCAAGGGACCCCUGGAGUGAAGGCACCUCACUCAUCCUCCAGGGCACUGGAACCCACUCCAGCCCAGGUUCUCCCAGGAGCUGCAGUCCCACCCAGGAAGCAACUUCUCCAAAACGAUAAUUAUCAUGUAAAUGGUCCAUGCUGGGGUAAAAAGCCCUUGACAAUCAGUAGUCAAGGCACACUACACCCAUGGGGAGUCUGCCAAGGCUUCCCUCCCCCCCUUUCCAAGCGGAGGCACCAGUAUUUGAAGGCCAGCCAAGCAGCCACCCAGAACACCAAACUCUCUGGCAGCAAAGCAGGAAUUCAGCAAACCCUAAUAAUGGACUUGGUGUGAGACCAAGGCAACCCACUAGAUCAAGCUGUAUCCCAGGAAAACAGGCAGCAUGGAGAAAAGGAAGAGAGAUAAACACAGGCUCCUAGCAUUAUGCACUUCAGAAGUGGUUUAUCAGCCUCCUUGUAAUUAUCAGAACAAAAAACUCCUAACUCAUUUGCCUAGAAAUUAUCCCUAAUGGUAACUGGUUAUUUUCUCAUUUAAAUCAAUGGAAGGUGGUCCUCAGAAAGGGAUUACACAGAAAAUGGAAGCUCUUGGGAGCAAGAGUUCUAUCAUUUCCCCCAAAAUCUUAUCUAAUAAUUGAUUCAAUAGCAUUAAGAAGUAGUGGAAAACCGGAAGUAAAGUAUAGUAACUGCAAGACAGACAGACUUCAAGACAUCCUCCCCCCCUCCCAAUCCCCCAGCUAAGAUGAAAGCCCUGGAAUUUCAUCUGCUGCAAUAUUUGGAAUUAGGCUGCUUGGGUGAAUCCAUGGCAUUUCAUGGCAUUGAUUUUAAUCAACGUCAAAAUAGCUACAAAGGAGGAAGCAAUGAAGGCCGCAGCAACUUUUCCAAAUAUAUUUCCCUGGAGUGGAAAUCUGACCAAGGUGUAGUUUUAAGGCCCCACUUACUUGGAAUGGACUUUUAAUUAAUUCAACUCAAACAAAUACUGUGUGCAAGCAAGCUUUCUUUUCAUUAUCUCAGACUACCGAAGCUCUCCAUACUUAAUACUCUAAUGGAUCUGUGAUCUCAUCAAUUCAAUUCCACAAGGCUGUAUUAAAUGAAACAGGUAGGUGGCACAGUGGAGAGUGGACCUGGAGUCAGGAAGAUUUGUAUUCAAAUUCCGUCUCAGCCACUUGCCAGCUGGUGAUCCUAGAGAAGUCACUUGACCUGUUUCAGUUUUCUCAUCUGUAAAAUGGGGAUUGGUAAUAGCACCUAAUUAUUAAUAAUAGCACCUCUUAUAAGGAUAAAGUAAUAUUUACUAUAUCAAUGCUAGCUAUUAAAUGUCUGCCAUGUAAGAGCCACGU